GAUGAACGCUGGCGGCGUGCCUAAUACAUGCCAGUCGAGCGAACAGAUGAGGAGCUUGCUCCUCUGACGUUAGCGGCGGACGGGUGAGUAACACGUGGAUAACCUACCUAUAAGACUGGGAUAACUUCGGGAAACCGGAGCUAAUACCGGAUAAUAUAUUGAACCGCAUGGUUCAAUAGUGAAAGACGGUUUUGCCGUCACUUAUAGAUGGAUCCGCGCCGCAUUAGCUAGUUGGUAAGGUAACGGCUUACCAAGGCAACGAUGCGUAGCCGACCUGAGAGGGUGAUCGGCCAUACUGGAACUGAGACACGGUCCAGACUCCUACGGGAGGCAGCAGUAGGGAAUCUUCCGCAAUGGGCGAAAGCCUGACGGAGCAACGCCGCGUGAGUGAUGAAGGUCUUCGGAUCGUAAAACUCUGUUAUUAGGGAAGAACAAAUGUGUAAGUAACUAUGCACGUCUUGACGGUACCUAAUCAGAAAGCCACGGCUAACUACGUG
rnacentral:rRNA from 1 species